GAUGAACGCUGGCGGCGUGCCUAAUACAUGCAAGUCGAGCGAACGGACGAGAAGCUUGCUUCUCUGAUGUUAGCGGCGGACGGGUGAGUAACACGUGGAUAACCUACCUAUAAGACUGGGAUAACUUCGGGAAACCGGAGCUAAUACCGGAUAAUAUUUUGAACCGCAUGGUUCAAAAGUGAAAGACGGUCUUGCUGUCACUUAUAGAUGGAUCCGCGCUGCAUUAGCUAGUUGGUAAGGUAACGGCUUACCAAGGCAACGAUGCAUAGCCGACCUGAGAGGGUGAUCGGCCACACUGGAACUGAGACACGGUCCAGACUCCUACGGGAGGCAGCAGUAGGGAAUCUUCCGCAAUGGGCGAAAGCCUGACGGAGCAACGCCGCGUGAGUGAUGAAGGUCUUCGGAUCGUAAAACUCUGUUAUUAGGGAAGAACAUAUGUGUAAGUAACUGUGCACAUCUUGACGGUACCUAAUCAGAAAGCCACGGCUAACUACGUGCCAGCAGCCGCGGUAAUACGUAGGUGGCAAGCGUUAUCCGGAAUUAUUGGGCGUAAAGCGCGCGUAGGCGGUUUUUUAAGUCUGAUGUGAAAGCCCACGGCUCAACCGUGGAGGGUCAUUGGAAACUGGAAAACUUGAGUGCAGAAGAGGAAAGUGGAAUUCCAUGUGUAGCGGUGAAAUGCGCAGAGAUAUGGAGGAACACCAGUGGCGAAGGCGACUUUCUGGUCUGUAACUGACGCUGAUGUGGGAAAGCGUGGGGAUCAAACAGGAUUAGAUACCCUGGUAGUCCACGCCGUAAACGAUGAGUGCUAAGUGUUAGGGGGUUUCCGCCCCUUAGUGCUGCAGCUAACGCAUUAAGCACUCCGCCUGGGGAGUACGACCGCAAGGUUGAAACUCAAAGGAAUUGACGGGGACCCGCACAAGCGGUGGAGCAUGUGGUUUAAUUCGAAGCAACGCGAAGAACCUUACCAAAUCUUGACAUCCUUUGACAACUCUAGAGAUAGAGCUUUCCCCUUCGGGGGACAAAGUGACAGGUGGUGCAUGGUUGUCGUCAGCUCGUGUCGUGAGAUGUUGGGUUAAGUCCCGCAACGAGCGCAACCCUUAAGCUUAGUUGCCAUCAUUAAGUUGGGCACUCUAAGUUGACUGCCGGUGACAAACCGGAGGAAGGUGGGGAUGACGUCAAAUCAUCAUGCCCCUUAUGAUUUGGGCUACACACGUGCUACAAUGGACAAUACAAAGGGCAGCGAAACCGCGAGGUCAAGCAAAUCCCAUAAAGUUGUUCUCAGUUCGGAUUGUAGUCUGCAACUCGACUACAUGAAGCUGGAAUCGCUAGUAAUCGUAGAUCAGCAUGCUACGGUGAAUACGUUCCCGGGUCU
rnacentral:rRNA from 1 species